rfam:Clostridium methylpentosum DSM 5476 Scfld0 genomic scaffold, whole genome shotgun sequence.
AGAUAUGCGUUGAAGCGAAAGGUGGCCGCCAGACGGCGGGGAAUUUUCGUGGAGUAUGUCCGAUUUUAAACCGGGCGACAA